rnacentral:rRNA from 1 species
AUACGGAGGAUGCGAGCGUUAUCCGGAUUUAUUGGGUUUAAAGGGUGCGUAGGCGGACGAUUAAGUCAGCUGUGAAAUGCCCGCGCUUAACGCGGGAAGUGCAGUUGAUACUGGUUGUCUGGAGUGCCGUUGCCGUGGGCGGAAUGUGUAGUGUAGCGGUGAAAUGCAUAGAUAUUACACAGAACGCCGAUUGUGAAGACACCUCACGAAGCGGUAACUGACGCUGAGGCACGAAAGCGUGGGGAUCGAACAGGAUUAGAUACCCUGGUAGUCCGCACAGUAAACGAUGAAUACUUGUUUUCGGCGAUAUAAUGUCGGAGGCAAAGCGAAAGCGAUAAGUAUUCCACCUGGGGAGUACGCCGGCAACGGUGAAACUCAAAUGAAUUGGCGGGG